GCGGAGACAUGAGAGGAGCCGACAGGGGCUAGGGGUCUGCGAGCUAUUUGUACACCGAAUGGAAAACGCGCCAAAGACUCGCCUCCAGACGAGAGGAACCACGCUGGACCACGGGAACGGGACUAGCUGGUUGACUGUUCGUCGCCGACGACUGCAUCAUGAUCGACUGUACAGUGAGAACCGGUGACGUGGUUGCCACGGGGGUCACGGUGUCCGAAUGGUGAUGAUGAUGAUGGUACAGAGCCGACGCGUAAUACUGCUGAUGAUGGUGAUGGUGGUGCGGAUGAUGCGCACAAUGGCGACGUUGGCGAUGGAGACGACUGCGAAUUGAUCAAGUUGCAGCUGGUGGCGAGGAUGUCGUGAACCGUGUGAGAACUCGGCCACUGUAGACCGACGGAAGUAGCCGUCUGAUGGCCGACACCGGGAUGAAUAGCGGUCGGGGAAGACGGUGACAGCUUGCCCGGCGUCGUCGGCCCAACUGGAAACGCACCGGUACCAAAUUGGUAUGGAGAGGUUCGUUCGAAUUCGAUUAUUCAGCGCUCGUAUCAGGAUGGAAGAAAGAGACGCGACUGUUGCCUGAUAUCCCGCGAGCUCGCUGCUAGAACUGAACGCACACUUCAAGUUGCGCUGGUGGAGAACGAAGUUUUCUUUUUUUGGACAGCGGGCGGCGGCGUUGCGUGAUAAGGCGUCGGCGGAUACGGGACAGGACAAAGGGCGGCUCCAGCCGCGGCCGCGG